GGGGGUAUAGCUCAGUGGAAGAGUACCUGCCUAGCAUGUGUUAAGGCCCUGGGUUCAAUCCCUUGUACUGCCA
rnacentral:tRNA from 1 species